AUUGAACGCUGGCGGCAUGCCUUACACAUGCAAGUCGAACGGUAACAGGUCUUCGGAUGCUGACGAGUGGCGAACGGGUGAGUAAUACAUCGGAACGUGCCCAGUAGUGGGGGAUAACUACUCGAAAGAGUGGCUAAUACCGCAUGAGGUCUACGGAUGAAAGCAGGGGAUCGCAAGCCCUUGUGCCACUAGAGCGGCCGAUGGAAGAUUAGGUAGUUGGUGGGAUAAAAGCUUACCAAGCCGACGAUCUGUAGCUGGUCUGAGAGGACAAUCAGACACACUGGGACUGAGACACGGCCCAGACUCCUACGGGAGGCAGCAGUGGGGAAUUUUGGACAAUGGGCGCAAGCCUGAUCCAGCAAUGCCGCGUGCAGGAUGAAGGCCUUCGGGUUGUAAACUGCUUUUGUACGGAACGAAAAGCCCUGGGUUAAUACCCUGGGGUCAUGACGGUACCGUAAGAAUAAGCACCGGCUAACUACGUGCCAGCCGCCGCCGUAACAC
rnacentral:rRNA from 1 species